rnacentral:rRNA from 1 species
UUAGAGUUUGAUCCUGGCUCAGGAUGAACGCUAGCGGCAGGCUUAACACAUGCAAGUCGAGGGGCAUCGGGAGGGAAGCUUGCUUUCCUUGCCGGCGACCGGCGCACGGGUGAGUAACACGUAUGCAACCUGCCCUCUUCAGGGGGACAACCUUCCGAAAGGGAGGCUAAUCCCGCGUAUAUCGGUUUCGGGCAUCCGAGAUCGAGGAAAGAUUCAUCGGAAGAGGAUGGGCAUGCGGCGCAUUAGCUAGACGGCGGGGUAACGGCCCACCGUGGCGACGAUGCGUAGGGGUUCUGAGAGGAAGGUCCCCCACACUGGUACUGAGACACGGACCAGACUCCUACGGGAGGCAGCAGUGAGGAAUAUUGGUCAAUGGGAGAGAUCCUGAACCAGCCAAGCCGCGUGAGGGAAGACGGCCCUAUGGGUUGUAAACCUCUUUUGUCGGAGAACAAAACCCGGGACGAGUCCCGGACUGCGUGUAUCCGAAGAAAAAGCAUCGGCUAACUCCGUGCCAGCAGCCGCGGUAAUACGGAGGAUGCGAGCGUUAUCCGGAUUUAUUGGGUUUAAAGGGUGCGUAGGCGGUCCGUUAAGUCAGCGGUAAAAUUGCGGGGCUCAACCCCGUCGAGCCGUUGAAACUGGCAGACUUGAGUUGGCGAGAAGUACGCGGAAUGCGCGGUGUAGCGGUGAAAUGCAUAGAUAUCGCGCAGAACUCCGAUUGCGAAGGCAGCGUACCGGCGCCACACUGACGCUGAGGCACGAAAGCGUGGGGAUCGAACAGGAUUAGAUACCCUGGUAGUCCACGCCGUAAACGAUGAAUGCUAAGUUGUUGGAGGGUGUCCGCCCUUCAGUGCUGCAGCUAACGCAAUAAGCAUUCCGCCUGGGGAGUACGACCGCAAGGUUGAAACUCAAAGGAAUUGACGAGGACCCGCACAAGCGGUGGAGCAUGUGGUUUAAUUCGAAGCAACGCGAAGAACCUUACCAGGCCUUGACAUCUUGCUGACGGCAUAUGCAAUGUAUGUUCCCUCCGGGGCAGCAGAGACAGGUGGUGCAUGGUUGUCGUCAGCUCGUGUCGUGAGAUGUUGGGUUAAGUCCCGCAACGAGCGCAACCCCUGCCCCCAGUAGCCAGCGCGCAAGGGCGGGCACUCUGGGGGGACUGCCAGGGACAACCUGGAGGAAGGCGGGGAUGACGUCAAAUCAUCAUGCCCCUUAUGGCCUGGGCUACACACGUGCUACAAUGGCGCCCACAAAGGGAGGCGAAAUGGCGACAUGGAGCAAACCCCAGAAAAGGCGCCCCAGUUCGGAUUGCAGCCUGCAACUCGGCUGCAUGAAGCCGGAAUCGCUAGUAAUCGCGGAUCAGAAUGCCGCGGUGAAUACGUUCCCGGGUCUUGUACACACCGCCCGUCAAG